UGGGGAAUUUUGGACAAUGGGCGAAAGCCUGAUCCAGCAAUGCCGCGUGUGUGAAGAAGGCCUUCGGGUUGUAAAGCACUUUUGUCCGGAAAGAAAUCCUUGGCUCUAAUACAGUCGGGGGAUGACGGUACCGGAAGAAUAAGCACCGGCUAACUACGUGCCAGCAGCCGCGGUAAUACGUAGGGUGCAAGCGUUAAUCGGAAUUACUGGGCGUAAAGCGUGCGCAGGCGGUUUGCUAAGACCGAUGUGAAAUCCCCGGGCUCAACCUGGGAACUGCAUUGGUGACUGGCAGGCUAGAGUAUGGCAGAGGGGGGUAGAAUUCCACGUGUAGCAGUGAAAUGCGUAGAGAUGUGGAGGAAUACCGAUGGCGAAGGCAGCCCCCUGGGCCAAAUACUGACGCUCAUGCACGAAAAGCGUGGGGGAGCAAAACAGGAUUAGAUACCCUGGUAGUCCACGCCCUAAAACGAUGUCAACUAGUUGUUGGGGAUUCAUUUCCUUAGUAACGUAGCUAACGCGUGAAGUUGACCGCCUGGGGAGUACGGUCGCAAGAUUAAAAACUCAAAGGAAUUGACGGGGUCAUAGCUGUUUCCU
rnacentral:rRNA from 1 species